GCCUCGACGGUAUAGUGGUCAAAACGCUCGCUUUUAAAGCAGGAGGACGUGGGUUCAAUCCCAGCUGAGGUA
rnacentral:tRNA from 1 species